rnacentral:tRNA from 1 species
AGAGUUUAGGUUAACAGUUAGACCAAGGGCCUUCAAAGCCCUAAGUGAAGGAUAAUACCCUUCAACUCUU